rnacentral:rRNA from 1 species
UACGAAGGGGGCUAGCGUUGCUCGGAAUUACUGGGCGUAAAGGGCGCGUAGGCGGCUCUGUUAGUCAGGCGUGAAAGUCCUGGGCCUCAACCUGGGAACUGCGCUUGAUACGGCAGAGCUAGAGGGAUGGAAGAGGCUCGCGGAAAUUCCCAGUGUAGAGGUGAAAUUCGUAGAUAUUGGGAAGAACAACCGGGUGGCGCAAGGGCGGCGAGCUGGUCCAUUACUGACGGCUGAGGCGCGACAGCGGUGGGGAGCAAACGAGG